rnacentral:rRNA from 1 species
GACGAACGCUGGCGGCGUGCUUAACACAUGCAAGUCGAACGGAAAGGCCCUGCUUUUGUGGGGUGCUCGAGUGGCGAACGGGUGAGUAACACGUGAGUAACCUGCCCUUGUCUUUGGGAUAACUUCAGGAAACUGGGGCUAAUACCGGAUAGGAGCUCCUGCUGCAUGGUGGGGGUUGGAAAGCUUCGGCGGUUGGGGAUGGACUCGCGGCUUAUCAGCUUGUUGGUGGGGUAGUGGCUUACCAAGGCUUUGACGGGUAGCCGGCCUGAGAGGGUGACCGGCCACAUUGGGACUGAGAUACGGCCCAGACUCCUACGGGAGGCAGCAGUGGGGAAUAUUGCACAAUGGGCGGAAGCCUGAUGCAGCAACGCCGCGUGCGGGAUGACGGCCUUCGGGUUGUAAACCGCUUUCGCCUGUGACGAAGCGUGAGUGACGGUAAUGGGUAAAGAAGCACCGGCUAACUACGUG